rnacentral:rRNA from 1 species
GUUUAAGGCAACAUAGCCUGGUUCACGCCCGAUCUCGUUUGAUCUCGGAAGCUAAGAUAGGUUGGGCCUGGUUAGUACUUGGAUGGGAGACCGCCUAGGAAUACCAGGUGCUGUAAGCC